CUACCACAUCCAAGGAAGGCAGCAGGCGCGCAAAUUACCCACUCCCGGCACGGGGAGGUAGUGACGAAAAAUAACGAUACGGGACUCAUCCGAGGCCCCGUAAUCGGAAUGAGUACACUUUAAAUCCUUUAACGAGGAUCAAUUGGAGGGCAAGUCUGGUGCCAGCAGCCGCGGUAAUUCCAGCUCCAAUAGCGUAUAUUAAAGUUGUUGCGGUUAAAAAGCUCGUAGUUGAAUCUGUGUGCCACGCUGUUGGUUCACCGCUCGCGGUGUAACUGAUUGGCCAGUGGUACGUCCUACCGGUGGACUUAGCUCUCCGCGUUUGCGCGCGGGGGGCGGUCCAGCUUCAAUCCCAGAGCGAUUCUCUUCACCGAGUGUCGUUGUGGGCCGGUACGUUUACUUUGAACAAAUUAGAGUGCUCAAAGCAGGCAUAUUUUCGCCUGAAUACUGUGUGCAUGGAAUAAUGGAAUAGGACCUCGGUUCUAUUUUGUUGGUUUUCGGAACCCCGAGGUAAUGAUUAAUAGGGACAGAUGGGGGCAUUCGUAUUGCGACGUUAGAGGUGAAAUUCUUGGAUCGUCGCAAGACGGACAGAAGCGAAG
rnacentral:rRNA from 1 species